rnacentral:rRNA from 1 species
UGGGGAAUAUUGCACAAUGGGCGCAAGCCUGAUGCAGCCAUGCCGCGUGUAUGAAGAAGGCCUUCGGGUUGUAAAGUACUUUCAGCGGGGAGGAAGGGAGUAAAGUUAAUACCUUUGCUCAUUGACGUUACCCGCAGAAGAAGCACCGGCUAACUCCGUGCCAGCAGCCGCGGUAAUACGGAGGGUGCAAGCGUUAAUCGGAAUUACUGGGCGUAAAGCGCACGCAGGCGGUUUGUUAAGUCAGAUGUGAAAUCCCCGGGCUCAACCUGGGAACUGCAGCUGUGACUGGCAGGCUAGAGUCUUGUAGAGGGGGGUAGAAUUCCAGGUGUAGCGGUGAAAUGCGUAGAGAUCUGGAGGAAUACCGGUGGCGAAGGCGGCCCCCUGGACAAAGACUGACGCUCAGGUGCGAAAGCGUGGGGAGCAAACAGG